UGGGGAAUUUUGGACAAUGGGCGAAAGCCUGAUCCAGCCAUGCCGCGUGCAGGAUGAAGGCCUUCGGGUUGUAAACUGCUUUUGUACGGAACGAAAAGACUCCUUCUAAUAAAGGGGGUCCAUGACGGUACCGUAAGAAUAAGCACCGGCUAACUACGUGCCAGCAGCCGCGGUAAUACGUAGGGUGCAAGCGUUAAUCGGAAUUACUGGGCGUAAAGCGUGCGCAGGCGGUUAUAUAAGACAGAUGUGAAAUCCCCGGGCUCAACCUGGGAACUGCAUUUGUGACUGCAAGGCUAGAGUACGGCAGAGGGGGAUGGAAUUCCGCGUGUAGCAGUGAAAUGCGUAGAUAUGCGGAGGAACACCGAUGGCGAAGGCAAUCCCCUGGGCCUGUACUGACGCUCAUGCACGAAAGCGUGGGGAGCAAACA
rnacentral:rRNA from 1 species